GACGUAGGUCGCGAACGUUAUCCGGAAUUAUUGGGCGUAAAGGGUGCGUAGAUGGUAUAAUAAGUUAUCAGCGGUAAAUCGGGGCUCAACCUCGUGGAAGUCGGUAAUACUGUUAUACUCGAGUGCAGAAGAGGUUAACGGAACUCCAUGUGGAGCGGUAAAAUGCGUAGAUAUAUGGAAGAACAUCAAUAACGGCGAAGGCAGUUAACUAUUCUGUUACUGACAUUGAGGCACGAAAGCGUGGGGAGCAAAAAGG
rnacentral:rRNA from 1 species